CCUACGGGUGGCUGCAGUGGGGAAUAUUGGACAAUGGGGGCAACCCUGAUCCAGCCAUGCCGCGUGUGUGAAGAAGGCCCUCGGGUUGUAAAGCACUUUCAGUGAGGAAGAACGCCUGGUGGUUAAUACCCAUCAGGAAAGACAUCACUCACAGAAGAAGCACCGGCUAACUCCGUGCCAGUAGCCGCGGUAAUACGGAGGGUGCGAGCGUUAAUCGGAAUUACUGGGCGUAAAGCGCGCGUAGGUGGCUUGAUAAGCCGGUUGUGAAAGCCCCGGGCUCAACCUGGGAACGGCAUCCGGAACUGUCAAGCUAGAGUGCAGGAGAGGAAGGUAGAAUUCCCGGUGUAGCGGUGAAAUGCGUAGAGAUCGGGAGGAAUACCAGUGGCGAAGGCGGCCUUCUGGACUGACACUGACACUGAGGUGCGAAAGCGUGGGUAGCAAACAGGAUUAGAUACCCUAGUAGUC
rnacentral:rRNA from 1 species